AAGUCCCGCAACGAGCGCAACCCUUGAUCUUAGUUGCCAGCAUUCAGUUGGGCACUCUAAGGUGACUGCCGGUGACAAACCGGAGGAAGGUGGGGAUGACGUCAAAUCAUCAUGCCCCUUAUGACCUGGGCUACACACGUGCUACAAUGGAUGGUACAAAGGGCAGCAAAACCGCGAGGUUGAGCGAAUCCCAUAAAGCCAUUCUCAGUUCGGAUUGCAGGCUGCAACUCGCCUGCAUGAAGCCGGAAUUGCUAGUAAUCGCGGAUCAGCAUGCCGCGGUGAAUACGUUCCCGGGCCUUGUAC
rnacentral:rRNA from 1 species